AGGUUACCUUGGAAGAGACCAUCAAUAAAUUACAAAGUGAAAAUGAAAGGGAGAAGCAAAACCAGGCUAGUUUGGAAAUGAGAAUUGCACAAUUACAGAGUGAGAAUAGUUCCUUACUUGAAAAAGAGGUUGGUUUGGAAAUGAGAAUUGCACAGUUAGAGAGUGAGAAGAGUUCCUUGCUUCAAAAAGAGGUUGGAUUGGUGGAAGAAACCAAGUGGUUGCUGAGUGAAAAAGAAUUUUUGAGCCUUAAAGUGGU